rnacentral:rRNA from 1 species
UACGAAGGGGCUAGCGUUGUUCGGAAUUACUGGGCGUAAAGGGCGCGUAGGCGGCGUGUCAAGUCAGGCGUGAAAGCCCCGGGCUCAACCUGGGAACCGCGCUUGAGACUGGCAUGCUCGAGUCGGUGGAGAGGAUGGUGGAAUUCCCAGUGUAGAGGUGAAAUUCGUAGAUAUUGGGAAGAACACCGGUGGCGAAGGCAGCUCGCUGGGACGUUACUGACGCUGAGACGCGAAAGCGU